rnacentral:lncRNA from 1 species
CGUAAUACCUGUCGGCAGACAAGCAUCGGCCACCGAGCGGGCAGCGACAGCCACUUCCAACCAUCGGCACCGGGCGGUUUGCAGGCCGAGCUCUCCUGGAACGCCGUAAAUCCCUGUCCUAUUCAUCACCAGCAUGGUUGGCAAGACCAUCGUGGCAGGCGUCACAAUCCUGACUAUCGUGAUGGUGGCGUGCCUGACAGAGGUCCAGGCCUGCGACAAUUCGGAGUGCUACUCUCGCUGCAUCGGCGACGGCGCCCGCUCGGGUCGGUGCAUCGGGGGCAUCUGCCAGUGCAGACAACACGGCAAACGCAGCGUCGACAGUCACCUGGACACGUGGCCAAAGAACGGGAUUGCGUCAUAAACUGUGGAAGCUUAUGUGGUGCCAGCAUUCAAUAAAUACGUGCUUCAGUCAUU